UACGUAGGGUGCAAGCGUUGUCCGGAAUUAUUGGGCGUAAAGAGCUCGUAGGCGGUCUGUCGCGUCGGCUGUGAAAUCCCGAGGCUCAACCUCGGGUCUGCAGUCGAUACGGGCAAACUAGAGUAUUGCAGGGGAGACUGGAAUUCCUGGUGUAGCGGUGAAAUGCGCAGAUAUCAGGAGGAACACCGGUGGCGAAGGCGGGUCUCUGGGCCGUAACUGACGCUGAGGAGCGAAAGCGUGGGGGAGCGAACAGG
rnacentral:rRNA from 1 species